AUUGAACGCUGGCGGCAGGCCCAACACAUGCAAGUCGAGCGGAUGACGGGAGCUUGCUCCUUGAUUCAGCGGCGGACGGGUGAGUAAUGCCUAGGAAUCUGCCUGGUAGUGGGGGACAACGUUUCGAAAGGAACGCUAAUACCGCAUACGUCCUACGGGAGAAAGCAGGGGACCUUCGGGCCUUGCGCUAUCAGAUGAGCCUAGGUCGGAUUAGCUAGUUGGUGAGGUAAUGGCUCACCAAGGCGACGAUCCGUAACUGGUCUGAGAGGAUGAUCAGUCACACUGGAACUGAGACACGGUCCAGACUCCUACGGGGGGCAGCAGUGGGGAAUAUUGGACAAUGGGCGAAAGCCUGAUCCAGCCAUGCCGCGUGUGUGAAGAAGGUCUUCGGAUUGUAAAGCACUUUAAGUUGGGAGGAAGGGCAGUAAGCUAAUACCUUGCUGUUUUGACGUUACCGACAGAAUAAGCACCGGCUAACUCUGUGCCAGCCGCCGCCGUAA
rnacentral:rRNA from 1 species